UACUAGUUUGAAUUUUAUGUACACCUUGUACACUAGGAAGUUCUUGAUAAUCUGGAAUAUAGACCAGAGGGUCAGGAAUCUUAUUUUUGAUGAGUCUUAAUUUAUAGAUUGGAUUAUAAUUUGAUUUUUAUGUAUUUGCUUUAGGAUCUGGAAUUGGUUCGUUCAGAAUGAGUUCUUCUUUAUUUUAGGGGUUUUCUUUGCAAUAACUAGUUUUCCGCAUCCUUUUGACAAAAGUGAAUCAGUUCCCAAAAUGAUCAAACUGAAAGCGAAAGAUUACCACCCUGUUCAAUCUCAAAACAUGGA